ACUAUCAAUGUUGAUUACUAUGCCAACAAAUUUUUUAUUUAACAUGGAGUCAAUAAAUUUUUAGUAUAGAAAAAUUAAAAAAAAAAAUUUCAUUUAAUUGUCUCCUUAUUUUUUAAUGCAAUAAUUUAUUACGUAAUAGCGAUCAGUCAAUUUAAGAAAACAGUAAUAAAUGGACGAUAAUUGGUACUACCUUGUAUUUAACUCGACAUUUAUGAUUACGGAAAUUUAAGACUUAAACUAUAAACCCGAUGGAGGAGCAACCACAAUUAUCCAGUACCAUUUAUACUAUAGUUCUAUCUAAUAUAGUAUAACUGGCCUUGAGUAAAUUGGAGUUACAAGUUAGUAAAGACGAUGUUCUAAAAAAAUUGUAAAAAAAAUUUUGAGCAAUGACCUAGCGAUGAAAGAGCAACUGCAAUAUCUAAUGUAGUACAAGUCGUGUCGAGUAUAAUUAGAAUUACAAGUUAGAACUGGUAAUAAUCCAAAAAAAAUUAUGUAAUAAAUUUUGAUAAUCGAUGAUUUGUGUCCCAGCAACUACAGUCCCCCGAAAUCACUUAUACUAUAAUUAUAUUUAAGAGUAUAAGUGAGAUCGUGAUGAAGGAGCAACUACAACUAUCCAGUACCAGAUUAGUAUUAUAAUUAUAUAUAAUAAUAUAAGUGGCACUGAAUAAUCCUAAUUACAAGUUAGUACAGACGAUGAUCUAAAAAAAAUUUGAGCAGUGUCCUAGUGAUGAAGGAGCAACUACAACUAUCCAGUACCAGAUUAGUAUUAUAAUUAUAUAUAAUAAUAUAAGUGGCACUGAAUAAUUCUAAUUACAAGUUAGUACAGACGAUGAUCUAAAAAAAAUUUGAGCAAUGUCCCAGCGAUGAAAAAACUUCAAUUAAUCGAGUGCCGGCCGAACUGAUAUUUUUAAUUUUUACAGCAAAGCGGUACCAAAUUAUCGCAGUUACAAAUGUUGAUUGUCAUUAGCAAAUGUCCAAAUAAAAUAAUUAAUGAUGAAGAGCAGCUACAAAUACUUGAAUGACGCCAGACUGAAAUUUCAAAUUUUUUUAGUCCAAGCGAUUCAAGUUUUCGGAGCUACAACUAUUAUACUUAUAGGCAAUUAAAUGCUGAAAAGAAAAAUAUUCAAUGCGAUGAAAAAGCGACCACAAUAACCAGUAUUGGCUUAGCUUAUUUUUAUGAAUAAAUCAAGCCAAUACCAAGUAAUUGGAGAUAUAAAUGUUGAUUGUCAUUAGCAAGUGUCCACAAAAAUAAUUAAUGAUGAAGAGCAGCUACAAUUACUUGAAUAACGUUAAGACUGAAAUUUCAAAUUUUUUAAGUCUAAACGUUAUCAAGUUUUCGGAGCUGCAACUAUUAUACUUAUAAGUAAUUAAAUGCUGAAAAGAAAAAAUAUUCAAUGCCAUGAAAAAGCGACCACAGUAAUUAGCACUAGCCUUACAUUAUUUUUGUCAAUAAAGUAAAGCAGUAUCGUGUGAUUAGAGUUAUAAAUGUUGAUUGUCAUUAGCAAAUGUCCAAUAAAAAUAAUUAAUGAUGAAGAGCAGCUACAAAUACUUGAAUAACGCCAGACUGAAAUUUCAAAUUUUUUUAGUCCAAGCGAUUCAAGUUUUCGGAGCUACAACUAUUAUACUUAUAGGUAACUAAAUGCUGAAAAGAAAAAUAUUCAAUGCGAUGAAAAAGCGACCACAAUU